AUGGAGAGGAACCUGGGAGCUGUGCUGGGGAUUCUGUGGGUGCAGAUUUGCUGGGUGAGCGGAGAUAAGGUGAAGCAAAGUCCCUCAGCGCUGAGUCUCCAAGAGGGAACCAAUUCUGCUCUGAGAUGCAAUUUUUCUAUCGCUGCGACAACUGUGCAGUGGUUCCUACAGAAUCCCAGGGGCAGCCUCAUGAAUCUUUUUUACCUGGUGCCAGGAACAAAGGAGAAUGGGAGGUUAAAGUCAGCAUUUGAUUCUAAGGAGAGCUACAGCACCCUGCACAUUAGGGAUGCCCAGCUGGAGGACUCAGGCACUUACUUCUGUGCUGCUGAGG